AAAAACUGAUCAUUCGCCGGAAUCGGUCACCUGAUUCCGACGACUUGCCGGAAUAUUUGUCGGAUUCCGGCCACUUGCAGCAAAUUGGCCAUAGCCUCCCCGUAUUUCCUAAAACACCAAAUUAUCGACAUACAAGAGCACAACAACACUAUUUCAGUAACCAAACUUCUAUUUCUCAAAACCACAACUAACACAGUCUUCAAAAUAUCAAAGGAGAUCAAGUUUACCUUCAAUCGAUCCCAAAGCUCUAGCCUUGCAGCUCUCCUAGUCGGAACUCAACUUGCAGAACCUCUAUACAUCUCCAACUGCUGCUUCUAACGCCAA
rnacentral:lncRNA from 1 species